UGACGGUAGCUUACCAGAAAGGGACGGCUAACUACGUGCCAGCAGCCGCGGUAAUACGUAGGUCCCGAGCGUUGUCCGGAUUUAUAGGGCGUAAAGGGAGCGCAGGCGGUCAGGAAAGUCUGGAGUAAAAGGCUAUGGCUCAACCAUAGUGUGCUCUGGAAACUGUCUGACUUGAGUGCAGAAGGGGAGAGUGGAAUUCCAUGUGUAGCGGUGAAAUGCGUAGAUAUAUGGAGGAACACCAGUGGCGAAAGCGGCUCUCUGGUCUGUCACUGACGCUGAGGCUCGAAAACGUGGGUAGCGAACAGGAUUAGAUACCCUGGUAGUCCACGCCGUAAACGAUGAGUGCUAGGUGUUAGGCCCUUUCCGGGGCUUAGUGCCGGAGCUAACGCAAUAAGCACUCCGCCUGGGGAGUACGACCGCAAGGUUGAAACUCAAAGGAAUUGACGGGGGCCCGCACAAGCGGUGGAGCAUGUGGUUUAAUUCGAAGCAACGCGAAGAACCUUACCAGGUCUUGACAUCCCGAUGCUAUUCUUA
rnacentral:rRNA from 1 species